UACAGAGGUCCCAAGCGUUGUUCGGAUUCAUUGGGCGUAAAGGGUGCGUAGGCGGCGGGGUAAGUCAGGUGUGAAAUCCCGGAGCUCAACUCCGGAACUGCACUUGAUACUGCCUUGCUCGAGUACUGGAGAGGAGACUGGAAUUUACGGUGUAGCAGUGAAAUGCGUAGAUAUCGUAAGGAAGACCAGUGGCGAAGGCGAGUCUCUGGACAGUUACUGACGCUGAGGCACGAAGGCCAGGGGAGCAAACGGGG
rnacentral:rRNA from 1 species